UGAACGCUGGCGGCGUGCUUAACACAUGCAAGUCGUACGAGAAAUCUUUAGCUUGCUAGAGAGAGUAAAGUGGCGCACGGGUGAGUAACGCGUGGGUAAUCUACCCUCAAAUCGGGGAUAACGUUGCGAAAGCGACGCUAAUACCGGAUGAUAUCAUAAAGGCUUCGGUCUUAAUGAUCAAAGAUGACCUCUACAUGUAAGUUGUUGUUUGAGGAGGAGCCCGCGUACCAUUAGCUUGUUGGUAGGGUAAUGGCCUACCAAGGCAACGAUGGUUAGCUGGUCUGAGAGGAUGAUCAGCCACACUGGAACUGACACACGGUCCAGACUCCUACGGGAGGCAGCAGUGAGGAAUUUUGCGCAAUGGGGGAAACCCUGACGCAGCAACGCCGCGUGAGUGAUGAAGGCUUUAGGGUCGUAAAGCUCUGUCAAGUGGGAAGAACCUAUCCGGGAGUAAUAUGUCCGGGUAUUGACGGUACCACUGAAGGAAGCACCGGCUAACUCC
rnacentral:rRNA from 1 species